rnacentral:rRNA from 1 species
GACGGGGGGGGCAAGUGUUCUUCGGAAUGACUGGGCGUAAAGAGCUCGUAGGCGGUGUGUCGCGUCGGCCGUGAAAACCUGCAGCUUAACUGUGGGCUUGCGGUCGAUACGGGCAUCACUGGAGUUCGGCAGGGGAGACUGGAAUUCCUGGUGUAGCGGUGAAAUGCGCAGAUAUCAGGAGGAACACCGGUGGCGAAGGCGGGUCUCUGGGCCGAUACUGACGCUGAGGAGCGAAAGCGUGGGGAGCGAACAGG